CCCUGGCUCAGAACGAACGCUGGCGGCAGGCUUAACACAUGCAAGUCGAGCGCCCCUCCUUCAAGCAAGCUUGAAGGAUUUUUAUCCUUGAAAAGGAAGAUCAAGACAGCUUUCAAGAAGCUUUCUUGAUGGAGGGGAGCGGCAGACGGGUGAGUAACGCGUGGGAAUCUACCCAUCUCUACGGAAUAACUCAGGGAAACUUGUGCUAAUACCGUAUACGCCCUUUUGGGGAAAGAUUUAUCGGAGAUGGAUGAGCCCGCGUUGGAUUAGCUAGUUGGUGGGGUAAAGGCCUACCAAGGCGACGAUCCAUAGCUGGUCUGAGAGGAUGAUCAGCCACAUUGGGACUGAGACACGGCCCAAACUCCUACGGGAGGCAGCAGUGGGGAAUAUUGGACAAUGGGCGCAAGCCUGAUCCAGCCAUGCCGCGUGAGUGAUGAAGGCCUUAGGGUUGUAAAGCUCUUUCACCGGAGAAGAUAAUGACGGUAUCCGGAGAAGAAGCCCCG
rnacentral:rRNA from 1 species